UAGGGAAUCUUCGGCAAUGGACGAAAGUCUGACCGAGCAACGCCGCGUGAGUGAUGAAGGUUUUCGGAUCGUAAAGCUCUGUUGCCAGGGAAGAACGCUCGGGAGAGGAAAUGCUCCUGAGGUGACGGUACCUGAGAAGAAAGCCCCGGCUAACUACGUGCCAGCAGCCGCGGUAAUACGUAGGGGGCAAGCGUUGUCCGGAAUUAUUGGGCGUAAAGCGCGCGCAGGCGGCCAUUUAAGUCGGGUGUUUAACCCCAGAGCUCAACUCUGGGUCGCACCCGAAACUGGACGGCUUGAGUGUAGGAGAGGAAAGUGGAAUUCCACGUGUAGCGGUGAAAUGCGUAGAGAUGUGGAGGAACACCAGUGGCGAAGGCGACUUUCUGGCCUAUAACUGACGCUGAGGCGCGAAAGCGUGGGGAGCAAACAGGAUAGAUACCCUGGUAGUCCACGCCGUAAACGAUGAGUGCGUAGGUGUUGGGGGUUCGAGUACCCUCGGUCGCCGAAGUAAACACAGUAG
rnacentral:rRNA from 1 species